AACACUGUUAACCUGCGGUACCUGCGGAGGGAUCAUUACCGAGUUUACAACUCCCAAACCCCUGUGAACAUACCUAUACGUUGCCUCGGCGGAUCAGCCCGCGCCCUGUAAAAAGGGACGGCCCGCCCGAGGACCCUAAACUCUGUUUUUAGUGGAACUUCUGAGUAAAACAAACAAAUAAAUCAAAACUUUUAGCAACGGAUCU
rnacentral:misc_RNA from 1 species